UUGGUCCACGGGGUCACGAAUGGUCGGACAUGACUAAAUAAAAACAACAAGGAUUAAGGGGAGAGAUUGUAUUUGGUUGCUUACACCGUAUUUCUGCCCAACCACCAGACGCAUAUGAAGUGCCAGUAGAAAAGGGAGGAGAAGAAGCAGGUCUCUAGGGAAAUCUGGGCUUUUCUAUCAAAUCUGCGCCCCAGUCGGAAAUUGCUGUUUAAAUCCUGUCUUGUGCCUGUUUACUCUUGAGGCCCCAGUCAAGUCGUUGAUACUGACAUACUUAGAAAGACCUCCAGAAUACAUGCGAUUGUAUUGGCUUAUCUAAUCAACAAAAAGGCUUAUAUUGUGAAACUUCAAAUGCCUUCUUGAAGACAACAAAGAAGGACAAAGGGAUUCUGCAGAAGGACUAGGAAUCCAUGUCAAUCAACAAUGGGUCAAGCAUAAGACAGGGCAAGAUGGGAACAUUAUCUCUCCUUCCCCCAGCCAUCUGCCAUGGCAAAGCAUCUGCAUCACUGGAUUGGAGGAAUCAAGCAAAUCUGUCACUAUAACCAGCUUUGUCCAUGUAGGCUUUGCAAUAAACCAAUGGAUUAAAGUCAUUUAAGGGCUCUUUUUUAUUUUUAAAACAGUGGCACACAUGGAGAGACAUACAAGGAAGCAAUUUGGAAUA